ACAGAGGGUGCAAGCGUUAAUCGGAAUCACUGGGCGUAAAGGGCACGUAGGUUGUUAGCUAAGUGUGAUGUGAAAGCCCCGGGCUCAACCUGGGAACUGCAUUACAAACUGGUUUACUAGAGUGUAGUAGAGGGGAGUGGAAUUCCACGUGUAGCGGUGAAAUGCGUAGAUAUGUGGAGGAACAUCAGUGGCGAAGGCGACUCUCUGGACUAACACUGACACUGAGGUGCGAAAGCGUGGGUAGCGAACAGG
rnacentral:rRNA from 1 species